rnacentral:rRNA from 1 species
ACGAACGCUGGCGGCAUGCCUAACCCAUGCAAGUCGAACGAGACCUUCGGGUCUAGUGGCGCACGGGUGCGUAACGCGUGGGAACCUGCCCUUAGGUUCGGAAUAACUCCCCGAAAGGGGUGCUAAUACCGGAUAAUGUCUUCGGACCAAAGAUUUAUCGCCUUUGGAUGGGCCCGCGUUGGAUUAGCUAGUUGGUAGGGUAAAAGCCUACCAAGGCGACGAUCCAUAGCUGGUCUGAGAGGAUGAUCAGCCACACUGGGGCUGAGACACGGCCCAGACUCCUACGGGAGGCAGCAGUGGGGAAUAUUGGACAAUGGGCGAAAGCCUGAUCCAGCAAUGCCGCGUGAGUGAUGAAGGCCUUAGGGUUGUAAAGCUCUUUUACCCGGGAUGAUAAUGACAGUACCGGGAGAAUAAGCUCCGGCUAACUCCGUG